rnacentral:piRNA from 1 species
UGGAAGGUCUUCUUGAUGAGAUCAGUCAAG